rnacentral:rRNA from 1 species
GACGAACGCUGGCGGCGUGCUUAACACAUGCAAGUCGAACGGAGUGGCGAACGGGUGAGUAUUACGUGAGUAACCUGCCCUCAACUGUGGGAUAAGCCUGGGAAAAUGGGUCUAAUACUGCAUAGUUGGGGAGGGGCUCGCGGCCUAUCAGCUGGUUGGUGGGGGGAUGGCCUACCAAGGCGGUGACGGGUAGCCGGCCUGAGAGGGUGGUCGGCCACAUUGGGACUGCGAUACGGCCCAGACUCCUACGUGAGGCAGCAGUGGGGGAUAUUGCACAAUGGGCGCAAGCCUGAUACAGCCAUGCCGCUUGUAUGAAGAAGGCCUUCGGGUUGUAAAGUACUUUCAGCGAGGAGGUGUUACUCGCAGAAGAAGCACCGGCUAACUCCGUGCCAGCAGCCGCGGUAAUUC